rnacentral:rRNA from 1 species
CAGGGAGUUUUGCGCAAUGGGCGAAAGCCUGACGCAGCAACACCGCGUGAGGGAAGAAGGCCUUCGGGUUGUAAACCUCUUUUCUCAGGGAAGAAUAAUGACGGUACCUGAGGAAUAAGUCACGGCUAACUACGUGCCAGCAGCUGCGGUAAUACGUAGGUGGCAAGCGUUAUCCGGAUUCACUGGGCGUAAAGAGCGCGUAGGUGGUCCUUCAAGUCAGAUGUUAAAUCUCUCGGCUUAACUGGGAGUUGUCAUCUGAUACUGCUGGACUUGAGGGCGGUAGAGGGAGGUGGAAUUCCCGGUGUAGUGGUGAAAUGCGUAGAUAUCGGGAGGAACACCAGUGGCGAAAGCGGCCUCCUAGGCCGUUCCUGACACUGAGGCGCGAAAGCGUGGGGAGCGAACAGGAUCAGAUACCCUGGUAGUCCUAGCCGUAAACGAUGUCGACUGGGCGGCGGUGGGGUAAAAGCCAUCGGUGCCGCAGCUAACGCGCUAAGUCGA